rnacentral:rRNA from 1 species
CGCUGGCGGCGUGCCUAAUACAUGCAAGUCGAACGGUCUUUCUAUGGAAGCUUGCUUCCACUGAGAAGAUAGUGGCGAACGGGUGAGUAACACGUGGGUAACCCUGCCCAUAAGAGGGGGAGUAACAUCCGGAAACGGGUGCUAAUACCGCAUAGUUUUCUUGAUCGCAUGAUUGAGAAAGGAAAGACGGCCUUUGUGCUGUCGCUUAUGGAUGGACCCGCGGCGUAUUAGUUAGUUGGUGAGGUAACGGCUCACCAAGACGAUGAUACGUAGCCGACCUGAGAGGGUGAUCGGCCACAUUGGGACUGAGACACGGCCCAAACUCCUACGGGAGGCAGCAGUAGGGAAUCUUCCGCAAUGGACGAAAGUCUGACGGAGCAACGCCGCGUGAGUGAAAGAAGGUUUUCGGAUCGUAAAACUCUGUUGUCAGAGAAGAACAAGUUGGAGAGUAACUGCUCCAGCCUUGACGGUAUCUGACCAGAAAGCCACGGCUAACUACGUGCCAGCCGCCGC